AUCCAGCUGAUGAGUCUCAAACAGGACGAAACGCGCGUCCUGGAU
rnacentral:hammerhead_ribozyme from 1 species